rnacentral:rRNA from 1 species
CAGCAGCCACGGGAAUACGGAGGGGGCUAGCGUUGUUCGGAAUUACUGGGCGUAAAGCGCACGUAGGCGGCUUUGUAAGUUAGAGGUGAAAGCCCGGAGCUCAACUCCGGAAUUGCCUUUAAGACUGCAGAGCUAGCAGGUGAGAGAGGUGAGUGGAAUUCCGAGUGUAGAGGUGAAAUUCGUAGAUAUUCGGAAGAACACCAGUGGCGAAGGCGGCUCACUGGCUCAUACUGGACGCUGAGGUGCGAAAGCGUGGGGAGCAAACAGGAUUAGAGACCCCGGUAGUCCCUGUCUCUUAUAC